GACGAACGCUGGCGGCGUGCUUAACACAUGCAAGUCGAACGGAAAGGCCCUGCUUGCAGGGUACUCGAGUGGCGAACGGGUGAGUAACACGUGGGUGAUCUGCCCUGCACUUCGGGAUAAGCCUGGGAAACUGGGUCUAAUACCGGAUAGGAGCCAUUUUUAGUGUGAUGGUUGGAAAGUUUUUUCGGUGUAGGAUGAGCUCGCGGCCUAUCAGCUUGUUGGUGGGGUAAUGGCCUACCAAGGCGGCGACGGGUAGCCGGCCUGAGAGGGUGGACGGCCACCUUGGGUCUGAGAUGCGGCCCAGACUCCGACGGGAGGCAGCAGUGGGGAAGAUUGCACCAUGGGCGCAAGCCUGAUGCAGCGACGCCGCGUGGGGGAUGACGGCCUUCGGGUUGUAAACUCCUUUCGCUAGGGACGAAGCUUUUUGUGACGGUACCUAGAUAAGAAGCACCGGCUAACUACGUG
rnacentral:rRNA from 1 species